UACGUAGGGUGCGAGCGUUGUCCGGAAUUAUUGGGCGUAAAGAGCUCGUAGGCGGCUCGUCGCGUCGGCUGUGAAAACCUGGGGCUCAACCCCGGGCCUGCAGCCGAUACGGGCGAGCUAGAAUUCGGUAGGGGAGACUGGAAUUCCUGGUGUAGCGGUGAAAUGCGCAGAUAUCAGGAGGAACACCGGUGGCGAAGGCGGGUCUCUGGGCCGAUAUUGACGCUGAGGAGCGAAAGCGUGGGGAGCGAACAGG
rnacentral:rRNA from 1 species